GGAGAGCUGGAGACAAAGGAGCUACAGAUCUGACAAGAUCCAGUGAGUUUGGAGCCCUGAAGCUGCCAUGCUCUCAACUGUUAAUGGAAUUGGCCAGGUGAUCCCYUUUUAGGGUAAAAGAUGGCGAGCUUCUGAAAACUGGCUGGAGCCAGGAGAGCCCUAAGAAUCACUUCAUCCUGGUCUGGUCUGGUCUGGUUGGUAUCAGUUCCCCCUCCAUCUCACCACUCAGACACACACUCCAUUAUUCAUCUCUUUAUCUGAAAGAACUUGCGCUGGGACAUUGUCAACUUAAAUAUCUGGAUAAUCCAACCAUGGACUUCUGAAUGCGUCGGUCAGACUUUGGACUGACCAGCAGGGAAGUUGAGACCAGUUGUGCACAAAUCAAAGAAGAAUUGCCGCAGUACUGUGUAUAUUUUUUUUGUAUUUAUUUUGGGUUCUAAGUAUGUCUUGUAUUGUUCG